rnacentral:rRNA from 1 species
AGAGUUUGAUCCUGGCUCAGAAUCAACGCUGGCGGCGCGCCUAACGCAUGCAAGUCGAGCGAGAAAGGGGGCAACCCUGAGUAAAGCGGCGUACGGGUGAGUAACACGUGGAUUAUCUACCUCUUAGUGGGGCAUACCUUUGGGAAACCGAAGACAAUUCCGCAUAAGUUCGAGAGAAGAAAGCAGCAAUGCGCUGAGAGAAGAGUCCGCGGCCGAUUAGCUAGAUGGCGGGGUAAUGGCCCACCAUGGCGACGAUCGGUAGCCGGCCUGAGAGGGCACACGGCCACACUGGCACUGAAACACGGGCCAGACUCCUACGGGAGGCAGCAGUGGGGAAUCUUGCACAAUGGAGGAAACUCUGAUGCAGCGACGCCGCGUGGACGAUGAAGCCCUUCGGGGUGUAAAGUCCUUUCGACCGGAACGAUAAUGACGGUACCGGUGGAAGAAGCUGCGGCUAACUACGUGCCAGCAGCCGCGGUAAUACGUAGGCAGCAAGCGUUGUUCGGAAUUAUUGGGCGUAAAGAGCUCGUAGGCGGUUUGCCAAGUUUGGUGUGAAAUCUCCCGGCUUAACUGGGAGGGUGCGCCGAAUACUAGCAGGCUAGAGUACGGGAGAGGAAAGCGGAAUUCCUGGUGUAGCGGUGGAAUGCGCAGAUAUCAGGAGGAACACCGGUGGCGAAGGCGGGUCUCUGGGCAGUAACUGACGCUGAGGAGCGAAAGCGUGGGUAGCGAACAGGAUUAGAUACCCUGGUAGUCCAA